GGCCCUGAGAGGGCCGCAGCUUUGCACUCCGGGCAUGCGCAGUUCACCUCCUGGUUAAACCAGGUCAGGUGCUGCCUUUCCUGAAGGGGGCGCGGGCCUUGCUGGGCCUCUGGGGCGAGGAGCUGCUGCACUGGAAGGCAGUUGCCAUGUUGUGAGCUACCCUACAGAGAGGCCCAUCAGGCAAGACACAGAUGAUCCUUGCCAACAGUCAACAAGGAUUGACUGCAGUCUACAAACAGCGACAUGAAUUAUCUUAGAGGUGGAUCUUCCCAAGUCAAACCUUGAGAAGACCACAGCCCUUGAUCAGAGCCCAGAGACAGAGGACACACUCCUGAAUUCCUGGACCACAGACACUGUAAGGAUUUCGAAGCAUUUUAGUUUUGAGAAGUUCCAUUUUGGGAAGAAUGUAAGAUGUUAGAGAGACCAAGAGGGAUUUUGCUGAAAGAAGCAGUAAAAAACAGGUAAGUCACCCAUUUAAGCAUUUUGCAUUCAAAUCACUUUGAUUACAAAUUCUACAUAGUUCAAAUAGCGUUUGAUCAUGUAUUAAGAAUUUUUGGUACACAAUUUAUGCUAUCACAUGAGCCCUUAGAAUAUGCAAUUGAUACUCAUUAUUUACAAAGUCUGUAUUUGCUAAUCGUUUUGCUAGCUAAAAUGGGUCUGUAAACCCAAAGUCUCAAUACAUGCAGCUCUUUUAUAGUCAUUUGUAGAUAUGUGCACAGCAGUGCUAAAUUUGAGUUUUCUGACGUGAGCAUUCCCAGCUCAGGUCAAACAUGGCACAAAUUUUUGCCUUUUUAUUUCAGCUUUUAUGUUAUAAACAAAUGUCUUUCCAUUCUAUUAAGUGCCACUAAAUUGUUUUCUUAAUUUCUUCUUUGUGUGGUUUUUAGUGUAGAGGAGCACAAUAAUAUUAUUGUUUUUAAUGUUUAUUUAUUUUUGAGAGACAGAGAGAGACAGAGCAUGAGUGGGGGAGGAGAGAGAAAGAGAGAGAGAGAGGGAGACACAGAAUCUGAAGCAGCCUCCAGG